AGACUAUAAGGGGUGCAGGGAAAGUAUUUCCUGCCGUAUUCAGGAGGGUGCUCAGCUGACAUGUUUUUUGUCAGCGCCGCAGGGAAC
rnacentral:sRNA from 21 species